ACUUUGGAGUCGCCCAUAAAAAGGAGAGAGGGAAACUAUACAUCUUUUCCAUACUUAUGGCCUAGGUUGUCUCUCCUUUUCAGACUUAGUUAAGAAAAAAUUAAAUAUAUAUACGAAUUUUUUGUAAGUAGAAGGAACACCUCCUAUCACAUUAAAUAGGAGGUGAGUAUCUCUAACAGUUGGGAGAAGGACAUGCUGAGAUUUUUUCCUAUUACUAUUAUGGAUCUUUGGGACAGUUUCAAUUCCAUUUUCAACAGGACAAAGUCUGCUUGCAGAGGAGAAAUACCACGGCAGCUUGAUGUGCAAUUGGGACUUAACCUCAUACAAGACCCAAGAGUCCCCACGGAGGGCAUUCUCCAUGUGUUUCAACUUGGUGCAUCAUUCACCAAGCAUGUUCCCUCCGGAAAAGCAGGAGACCGCCCAAGCUUCCUGGGUAUCCUCCUGACUUAUCUAGGACUGAAUCUUGCAGUACUCUGAAGAAAACUGUGAUGUGAAAUACCACACAUUGCUUUCAUUAAUAUGUCACAUUAAAUCGAAAAUCUCAAAUCCAAAUCAAAAGUUGGAUCUCUUAACGUUGUUCAUACUUUAGGAAAGUCUGAGGGCUGGGAAUAAUCUUUCUCAUGGGCC
rnacentral:lncRNA from 1 species